rnacentral:rRNA from 1 species
AUUGAACGCUGGCGGCAUGCCUUACACAUGCCAGUCGAACGGUAACAGGUUAAGCUGCCGAGUGGCGAACGGGUGAGUAAUGUAUCGGAACGUGCUCAGUCGUGGGGGAUAACUGCUCGAAAGAGCAGCUAAUACCGCAUACGACCUGAGGGUGAAAGCGGGGGAUCGCAAGACCUCGCGCGAUUGGAGCGGCCGAUAUCAGAUUAGGUAGUUGGUGAGGUAAAGGCUCACCAAGCCGACGAUCUGUAGCUGGUCUGAGAGGACGACCAGCCACACUGGGACUGAGACACGGCCCAGACUCCUACGGGAGGCAGCAGUGGGGAAUUUUGGACAAUGGGCGCAAGCCUGAUCCAGCCAUGCCGCGUGCGGGAAGAAGGCCUUCGGGUUGUAAACCGCUUUUGUCAGGGAAGAAAAGGUUCUGGCUAAUACCUGGGACUCAUGACGGUACCUGAAGAAUAAGCACCGGCUAACUACGUG